ensembl:lncRNA
CAGCACGGAGCGUCCGAGGCUCUGCUGGAGUCAGCGCCCGGCAGCUACCGCGACCGAGUCUGGGGGGACAGACUUGGCAGACCCGUUGGGCCAGUGUGACCUCAUACGCGGCCCUUCUGCUUCAGAGACACAGGCGGCUCUGACUCCCACACCCCUGCAGAGGCUGCUGUGGUCGUCAGGCGACAGGGCUCUGCGGAAGAGUACACGCAGAGCCACUCCAGGCCAGGCCAGGAGGCCAUCCAAGGGCAUGGGAGCCCUGGGAAACGCUCAGCGGCUUUUAUACCCGUUUGUCUCAACUGUUCUUGACCUGCUCUUCAACCCCGAGCUACGUCCCAUCGCUUCAACCAACCGAAGGAAUGCUUCCUAGAACUAGAUGGCCGUCUCACCUUUAAGCAAGGGGUGAUGUGAAAAAUGGCCGGCUGGAAGAUGCUUCUGCUUGUUUCUUUAUAUCCACCCAGCCUUUUUAUGACCCCUGUUGGUAAUGGAGAAAAAACAAGCUCAACAGUCAGACAGAUGUGAUUUUAAAUUCCGGGCUUACAUAAACUAGUCAAAUGAAUGUGGGCCCCCACUUCAACUUCUCCAAACAUCAAUUUCUCCUUGUGAAAAUAGAGAUAUGAGACCUGGUCUGCAGAUGUCAAUUCCCUUUGCUUUUUCUUUUUUUAGUGGACCCAUCUUAGCUGCUUUUUGCUGCUCUGUCCAUGGAUGCAUUUGAAGAGUUCAAUGUUAAAAAAGGAAAUGGUUCAAUGAUACAAAUGUUGAAUGGUGAGCAUAUUUUUGCUGAAAAUUUUGCGGCUCCUGAAAAAGCACCCCUCGCUAGUUAAAGGAAUUCUGAAGGAAGAGCCAUAAGGGCAAUGGAACAUCACUGAAGGAUUUUAUGUAGGGUAAUGACAUAAUCUGCCUUUCAAAGAAUACUCUGGAAAACUACAUGGAAGAGGCAAGAGAGGAAAAAGUGAGACCAGUUAGGAGGCUGCCUGCUCAACCACGUGAGACACGAGGGUGGCUUUGACCCAGAUGAUUGUGGGGGAGAUGAAGAGAGAUGGGCUCAUACCAGAUCUGUCUGAAGUAGAGCCGAAUGAACUUGCUAAUGAGCUAGAGAGAAGAACGGAAACGCGAGGAGUCCAGGAUGGUAGCCAGGAACCAGGCGGCAUUAGAACCAGGUGGAUGAUGGUGCCUCUUACUGAGGAGUGGGAGAGGAUCAGAUUUGGACUGAGGGAGGGGCCUCAAGGGUUGUGUGUUUUUGUACGUUAAAUUUGAGAUGUCUAAGAGACAUCUAACUGGAAAUGUUAGUAAAUGAGACUACUUAAAGAGAGGGCAUAGACAGACUAGAAGAGGGCCCGGGAGCAAGGCUUGAGGAAGUCCAGCAUCUCAGGGACAAGAGGAGGAGGAGAAGCCUGGAGAAGAGAGAGAGAGGUCAGCACAAUGGGAGCAAAACAAGGACAGUGCGGUAUCAUCGACCUGCAGGGAGUAGCAUUUCGUGAAGGAAGCAGUGGUCAAGGAUGUCCAAGAACAACAAAAGGACCCAAAAGUCCAUUGGAACUGGCAACAUGGAGGCUGUUGGUACUCUAGCCACCCACAGUUUGAGAGCAGAGGCGGCUCCCGGGAGUGGGUUGGUGGGGGAGCUGAUACGCCUUUUGUAGAAGGUUCUUUUGAAAGCUUUUCCUUUUGCCGAGCAGGGAGUCCAGGACAGAGGUGCGCACAACCGGGCAAGGAGACAACCAUUUUUCUCAAUUAACUGCUCUUCACCCCUUAGCACAGAAACUUUCCCAAACAGCACAGCCUCUUCCCCCAGCUGCAUCCCCACCUUCCUCAUAAUGUAAAGGGCGAGGGUGGGAGUGGGGGAACCACUUGCUUUCGAUCUCGAUGGUGAAUGUCUGCUCAUUUUGUCACCAGGGACAAGUGUCACCUCUCCUCCUCCUGUUAAGAAGCCCCAACCCCUCCAUCCACACCUUUUCCCCUUCCACUAGCUCAAGUUGAGUUUCUAUCACUUAGAACGAAGAGACUGACUAAUACACUCUGUCUUCCUACAUGGCGCAAGGCCAGCUCUUCCUGGCUUUCUCACUCAGCCAACAGUGAGGGAGGACAUGGAAAAGUCUGAGAAACAUGUGAGAGUAGGAAAUUAAGGAGAACUCGUAAGCAUGCACUCGUUCUCACAACAUUCUGAUUUUUCAAAUUUUAUUUUGUUAAACUAACCACAUUAUGGGAAAUUGCCGAUGGAGGCAUAUUGAUUUUUCAAAGCAGAGCAGUGUUUUAGGAAGAGAUUACAUGGCUUUUCUCGAAAUUGCAGAAUAGCUUUAUUUGGUACAUGCCUUCUGUAAUGGCCUGGGGAAAGGAUGUGUAAUAAACGUAAGAAAGGGAAUAGACAGAAUUUCAUCAAAGUUAGGAUGCCAGAACACGAAGAUCCCAUAACUGAGGAAGGGUAGAAAUUGGAUAUCAGGGACAAAAGGAAAUAAAUGAAACAAGUAAGAUGUAGCAAAUUUAAUGGAUUCUCAUAUCACCAGGCAGUUCAAGUCUCCUUUGCAGAUCAGAUAUCUUUUCUCUAUUUCCAGCAAAGCUUCAAGGCUACAGGCUGGCAUCUGGACACCAGAGUAUUGCAAACCACAGUGAUGACACUUCCUGGAGUCCAGCAUCUAACCCACCUACCUCUCUCCUCUCAUCUUCCCCUGUCCUGUCGCCCAAAACAAAAAAACGUGGAAAAGGAGAAUGUCGUUUCCCUUCUCCUUCAAUGCUCUUUAUGCCUCCCAACAAUAUAAUAUAUUCCCCAACUUUCUCCAAAUCCUGAUAUCCUACUACUUCCAG